ensembl:lncRNA
CCCGGCUCCUGUGCGUCCCGCGUGUUGUCGCCUUCUCUCCGGUCGUGGCGUGGGGUUUCGGAGUCGUCCCCAUCCCAGCUUCAGGUCUGCUACGACCUGGGUCACGGUGCUUGUCGGGAGCGUGGAAUGAAAACGCUUACCGGGGCGGGAGACCCUCCCAGGGUGCUGGGAUUACAGACUACUCCACUACCACAUCGGGCUGCUUCGCCUCUUGGUAAAGCCUAAUGGACAGAACAGGACUAGGGGUUGACCUCAAGACCUGGUACACGGUAUACGGGAGCUCUCCUGCCAGGCUACGCUUCCACCCUGAGUUUGCGCCUCUCCUGGCCUAGGAAGCCCUCACCAGGAGGAGCCCGAAGGAACGCCCGCCCCGCUACUUGAUCAAAGGCAGAUCGCGAAGUCCCAAAGACCACCAGGAAGUUGAUUCCGAUGUAAGCACACGAGGGCUGUUUAUUCAAGCUGGAGCAGGGGCUCCCAACCAUCACCAACACAGCGGAUCAGAAUUGAGAGCCCCGAAUUUCAAAUUAGCUGGGUUUUUAUUGUGGUUACAGCAAGGUUUGGAGAUUUUUCACUUAGCAGUUACAUGAUUGGUUGGCAUUUUGCAAGCAUGAAGUGUAUAUUUCUGAUUGGCUAGGCCCAUCGGGGGUUUGAGGGGCGGUUACAUGUAGGUUUUACGGGGGAAAAGAGGGACAAAGGUUAGUGGUCGACUGUCACGUACUGAUGGUCAGCACAUUGACAGAUUGUUCUAUAGAUAGUGGACCCGGAAUGUUCAUUUCCUGGGCAAACAGAUGGUUGAGGAAUUAACUUAGGAACUUUGGUUCGUUACAGAUUGCGUCUUUAGUCCCAGAGCAAGCACAUUUUAACCAUUAAUUUGUGAGGACAAUAGAGACUAGGGGAAUAGUGGAUUUUAGCAAAAUGGAGUCGCUUUGGUCUCACAAUUAAAACUAGAAUGUGGGGCUGUGGAUUUAGCUCAAUGGUUCCAGCGCCUGCCUUGCAAGCACAAGCUCCCAAGUUCAAUUCCCAGUAACAACAACAACAGAAAAAGACUAGAAUGCUUGAAGUCUACCUUUUGUUAUUUCCAGUUUAAAGUGAUUUGCAAAUACUCACUGAAGGUCUGGUCUUUCUAGAGUGUGCCUGAAGUCAUUUUGCAAAACAACCAACCAAAAGGCCUUUGACGUCGGAGAGGAUGUAUGUGGGGCAGAAGAACUAACUACGAGAAUCCUGUGCUCACAACAUCUGCAGCUACAACUCGGAGACAUCAUACAGGCAUUUACUGGGUGUGAGCAAUCAGCAUGUUACAGGUCUGACUAGUUUGCAGCUCCAGUGGGCUGCCUGAGGGUUCGGAAGACAGGUUUCACAAAGAAAAAUCACUGUCACCUCAGCUUCAGACAACCACUAAAUUCUGCCUACGAAUCUUGUAGGAGGCGCUUCAUAUCCAUGGAGCAAAUGUGAGCAUAAAGAAAUGGUGUUGGGACAAACAGCCAUCUGUAAGUAAAGUUGGAAGUAUACCUCAUACUGUACCAAAACGAAUUUCUGAUAGAGAAAACAUAAAUGUUAAAAACUUUGAUCAGAAAAUAUAUAUAGCCCAGGGGUGAUGGUGCAUGCCCAUAAUCCCAAGCACUCUGGGAAACUGAGGCAUGAGAUCCCAAGUUUGAGCCCAGCCUGCACAAUUUGGUGAUUGUCACUCAUUCUACCACUAAGCUACACCCACCAUCCUCUGUGUGUGUGUGUGUGUGCGUGCCGCAGCGUGCCGCACGCGAGCGAGCGUGUGUGUGUGUGUGUGUGUGUGUGUGUGUGUGGUCUUGUUGUUGUUUUUAUUUUCUAGUACUGGUGUUGCAUCCAGGUUGAGCAGCCCACCAGGAUCAGAAACUCAGCAGCAAUAACAAAUUAAAGGGAUGGAGUUUAAGAAGGGAAGCCGAUUUAUUUGUAAGGAGGAAAAAAUAGAAGACACAAAGCUGCCAGGAUAGAGAGCAGGGGCUGCAGAUGAUAUGUGUGUGUCGUCGUGUGUGUCGGGGGGGUCCGCCCCUGCCCCAGCCCUGGUCCCAGGCUCCUUUUGUUAGGUCUGGGGACCCUUCCUUUCGGGUGGGUGGUAACCUGAUCAGUCUCUGGGCGGUCUUUGGGUGGACUCCAGGUCCCCAGAUCCUAACCUGGGUACUUUUGCCUGUGUGCACAAUCCUUUCGGUGGGCUUUCUUUCACUUCUUGCCCUGUUGUGAUCUGCAAGUUGUUGGGAAGGGAUCCUUUUAAGGUUAGUGACUAAGUAAAGGCGUGUGUGUAUAUCUAGUGCAGUAAUAUUGUGCCUCUACAGUGUUUUUAAAUACUAAAUAAAUUUUCUUGUAAAUUAGGUAGCCAUCCCUUGUCUCCCUGACAUUUUAUUGGGGGGAGUGGUGUCCUGGUUUUCAUGCUUCCGGCUUCCUUCCUGCCC